GAUGAACGCUAGCGGCAGGCUUAAUACAUGCAAGUCGAGGGGCAACAGGGGUAGCAAUACCCGCUGGCGACCGGCAAACGGGUGCGGAACACGUACAGAACCUUCCUUUAAGCGGGGAUAGCCCAUAGAAAUGUGGAUUAAUACCCCAUAGUAAUGUUGUCUGGCAUCAGAUGAUAUUUAAAGAUUUAUCACUUAAAGAUGGCUGUGCGGCUGAUUAGGUAGUUGGUGNGGGUAACGGCCCACCAAGCCAGCGAUCAGUAACUGGUGUGAGAGCACGACCAGUCACACGGGCACU
rnacentral:rRNA from 1 species